GAAGAGAAAUGUGGCUUCUCUUCUCUUCUCUUCUCUUCCCCUCUCUUCUUUUUCAAUAAAUAAGUAAAGAGAACCAAAGAAUAAUCUGAUCAAUGAGAGGAAUGAAGGAAAUGAAAGGGCGGCGUAGUCUCGUGGAGGAGUUCUCACCGGCCUUUUGUGGACUCUGCACUGUUGGAGGAAUCCUCAGUGCUGGUACUGCUCACCUUGCUAUCACUCCUCUUGAUGUCUUGAAAGUCAAUAUGAAGUGAUUGUACAGCAUGAUGGGGGCAUUGAAGGUUCGACCAUCACAGGGUUUUGGUGGGGUUUAGUUCAUUCGUUUAACUGAAAUCGAUUAGGCUUUUCAUUCUGAAAAAGGGGGAGUAUAGAGCUUGUAUUGCUAGCUAUUAUUAGGAUUUUCCAUUUAGCGCAUACCGGCAUAGAGGAACUCUUCCUGAUCAUGUUCUCGAGGAUUUUAUGGUGGCCUAACGGGCCUACCUGUGGAGGGCUUGCCAGACAUCAGGAAGACACCGCCCUGUUAUCUUGAAGUCAGGAGAGUCUGAAACUGAAGUCCCAUUGAAUCAUUUUUCCCAGAUGUGAAAGAUAAAUCAUCCCGACUUGUGGUAUUUGAUGGUUUAGGUACUUAAAUUGUCAACAUUUGCCGAUGGAGAUGCACACAGAUGAUGUCUCCUUUUCUUAAUCCCAGCAUAAAAGUUGAAAGGCCAAUUUGGUUUCCAAAGAACAUAUUGACUGGUUUUGUCUUGGAUGAUCCCAGCGCGCAAU